rnacentral:rRNA from 1 species
AUUGAACGCUGGCGGCAGGCCUAACACAUGCAAGUCGAGCGGAUGAAGAGAGCUUGCUCUCUGAUUCAGCGGCGGACGGGUGAGUAAUGCCUAGGAAUCUGCCUGGUAGUGGGGGACAACGUUUCGAAAGGAACGCUAAUACCGCAUACGUCCUACGGGAGAAAGGGGGGGAUCUUCGGACCUCACGCUAUCAGAUGAGCCUAGGUAGGAUUAGCUAGUUGGCGAGGUUAAGGCUCACCAAGGCGACGAUCGUCAACUGGUCUGAGAGGAUGAUCAGUCACACUGGAACUGAGACACGGUCCAGACUCCUACGGGAGGCAGCAGUGGGGAAUAUUGGACAAUGGGCGAAAGCCUGAUCCAGCCAUGCCGCGUGUGUGAAGAAGGUCUUCGGAUUGUAAAGCACUUUAAGUUGGGAGGAAGGGCAGUAAGUUAAUACCUUGCUGUUUUGACGUUACCGACGGAAUAAGCACCGGCUAACUUCGUGCCAGCAGCCGCAGUAA